CCGCGUUCCGGAGCGCGCGGAGAGGCAGGGCGGUGCGCGCCGCGGGGGGCGGGCUCCACCUGCCUGCCGACAGAGGGAGGGCCGCCGAGGGAGGAUGUGAAACGGGACGACCCGCUUCUGCGCCGGCGGCUUGCUUUGUUUGCCUCCUCACAGAAGACUCCUGCCUCUGACGCCGCCGCACCCGAGAGGCGGCGAACGGCUGCUCCCGCCGCUGCGGCCAGACGGGGUCGCCCGCCCCGCACCGGCCGGGCCGCCUGCCCGACGGGGUCGCCGGCGAUCCUGUUUCACGGGAAACGUGCGCGGCGUGGCGGAAGGGACUCCUCGCUCUGGGCUUUGGACGAUAAAAGCGCGUGUACGUGUGUGUUAAAGCCCACAGACACCGUAGCGACUUCUUGAUUCAUUCGGCAAAUACUGUGGAGCGCUGUGGCGUGCCAGGCUGUGCCAGGCUUAGACGACAGCCCUGAUCAGCGCCGACACCGCACCUGUCCUCGGGGAGCAUGCAGGGCACCGCUGCUCACCUCUAAAAAACACACCGCAUGUGAAUUUGCCGUAUUUUCUGGACUGUAAAAUGCUUUGUAUGCUAAGUCCAUAUAUCGAAUAGUUUUUCAGUGGUGGAGGAAGAAGCUACCUUAAAGUCAUAUAAUCACCAUAUAUGCGGGGAAAGGUCCUGGUCAAAAUCAAAGAAAGUUAGUAACAGCUGGCAGAGAGAGAAGGGAACACAGCUUGCAAAGAGAUGGCCUCUGCCUGUGGCCUGAAAUCUAAACUGACUUAAUUCCAUAAUUUGGAGCCUUUAUGGGUUGAAGUGCUAACUAUGACCUUAACAGAGAUGGAAGCCUGUAAAAAUAGCAGCUAAGAGGUGGUAGUCAUAGAUACUAUGGUUCUAAGCCUUUCUUAAACUCUUCUAAAGCAGACUGGGUGACCCAUCAGCAAAAACAGAUUAAGGUAGCACCUCCCCAGCAGAUUUAUUUCAGAUUGCAUCAAGGCAGGGCCGUUAAACUAAGGUGGGAAUGAUAUGGACAGAAUUCAGAGGCUAAUAGGUAAAAGACAAGAAUUUUCAGGCUUAAAAACCCUUUUGAGAGAAGAUCUUGGUCUGGUGCCUACUCAUACAUGGACUGCCUAGAAAAUACUAACAUGAGGAUGAAAAUGGAGCCUCAUGAUGAGAAUAAAGGAGAACGUGAUGUGGAAAAUAUGAAGAUGGAAUCCAUAAGCUAGGGAUGCUGGAGCAGAAAGAUAGAAGGAGUCUGGGUCAUUCGUAUCAUCUGGAAGCUGCUGCAGCAGUCCUAGACUGGCUACCCCUGGACGUCUUGUUAUGAUCCAUGACAGCCAGGUGUGGUCUUUAAUCCCCUUCAGUUUGGACCUGAUGGAUCCCUGUGGAAUGACGGUUGUCAUUACAGGCAGGUGAAUUCGCCAAUGCUAAAAGAGGACUCACUUGUGGGGAAAUUGUGAUUUUGUGUUUCUUGGGUAUGACAAGAAAAUGUUGACCACUCCAGACCUCAAGUAUAGGUCUAGAACAGAGGGCUUCUGACCUCAGGCUAACUAGAGUUUUAAGAAUAACACCUCGUGACGUCCCCUCCUUAGCCUGACUCCAGGGUUUCCUGAACUCUGGGGACCAACAUGUGGUGGUCCCCUGCAGCCUCUCCUGAGGGCUACCACUCUCAUCCUCUCCACACUAGGUAGCGUGGUCCACCCGGCUCUCCAGUCUGCACACCGGCACUAAGUCAAUGUUCUCAGAGUACUGCUUGGAUCACAUCCUUUUAGCCUUUUCUCAAAAACCUUCAGGGUUCCUUCUUACCAAGUUGAAGGAAGUGCCUCUUCAGAAUGGCCCCAGCGUGCUUCUGUGUCCUACUGGUCUCCUACUCGUCCGGGAUCCAGCCAAAAUCCUCUGCUUGCUCUCUCCGAAGGUGCUUUACCUUUCUGCCUCCAUGCUUUCGCUCCUGCUCUUCUCCCAAUACCCUCCUCAUCCUUCUCUGCCUCUAGAAAACCUACUUACCACUCAAGACCCAUCUCUAACACUACUUUCUCCAUCAAGGCUUUUGAAUGUGACCACCCUCCUUAAAAUCCUUUCACCAUUCAUGCUAUUUUUGUGGCAUCUGCCGGACUCUUUCCAUGUUGGGUUAUCCGUGUGCCUCUCUUAGUCUCUCCUCCCCCAUUAGACUGGUGCUUCAAGGGCAGAAGCUCCCUUUUCCUCUUGUUUGUAUCAUCUGAGGUCAGUAGCACAAGGCCUUGAACAUAACAGGCAGUCAACAAAUACUGAGUUGGAUUGCUUUUCAGACGAGACAAACAAGGAUUCUGAAAGAAAUCAGAAUGUGGGAAGAGCAACUUCUAAGCAAGUAUGCACAAAUGUUGGAAUGUGCUGCAAGGAAAAGCAGAGGGGCGGCCAAUGAGAUGGACACAGGCGUGGUCCGCAGCCAAUCACAUGGGCCUGGCAAUGAGGGAGGCACAGGCCUGGAGCCAGG
rnacentral:lncRNA from 1 species